rnacentral:pre_miRNA from 1 species
GAUAAAAGAGCUUGUCAAGUUAGCCAAGGUGACUGCCUGAGAACCCAACAAGGUUUGAUAACUAAACCUCUUAUAGGAGGCAGGCAAGUCAUCCUUGGCUACCAAACUAGACUCCUUUUGU